GGGCCUGUAGCUCAGCCUGGUAGUGCACGAAAUGCUUCGCAUUUCAUACGCCGCUAGCGCCUGCCUCUUAAUAUAGAAAGAAGUUUUUGGUUAAGCUUUUUUCUAAAAAGGUUAGCAGGAUGUCGCGAGUUCGAAUCUCGUCGGGCCCA
rnacentral:tRNA from 1 species